rnacentral:rRNA from 1 species
AAUCAACGCUGGCGGCGUGCCUCAGACAUGCAAGUCGAACGCGAAAGUCCCCUUCGGGGGAGUGAUUAGAGUGGCGCACGGGUGAGUAACACGUAGGUAAUCUACCUUCGAGGUGGGGAAUAACUCAGGGAAACUUGAGCUAAUACCGCAUAAUGCAGCGGCACCACAUGGUGACAGUUGUUAAAGCAUUUAUGCGCUUGAAGAGGAGCCUGCGGCGGAUAGCUAGUUGGUAAGGUAAUGGCUUACCAAGGCUACGAUCUGUAACCGGCCUGAGAGGGCGGACGGUCACACUGACACUGAAUAACGGGUCAGACUCCUACGGGAGGCAGCAGUCGGGAAUUUUGGGCAAUGGGCGAAAGCCUGACCCAGCAACGCCGC